CUCGGCGCGCACGGUUUCGGAGUGGGUGUUUCUCUGUCGCGAACAAAAUCGGCGAUUGAAAUCGAGGUCCACCCGGAGGUGCGAGAGGCGCGUGUUCGAGUGCACGCGCUGAACGAUGACGACGAUGACGACGAUGACGAUGACGACGACGACGAGGAGGACGACGACGACGACGACGACGACGACGACGACGACGACGACGACGAUGAUGACGACUGCGAUGACGAAGUGAGACGAUCGUGUCGGAGAGAUCGGUAAUCAGGGAACAGAGUGCGCGUAAUCGGUAACCGGUAAUCGUCGAGAUUCUGGUGUGGAAACCAAGUCGCGAAGGAUGCGCUGGAAAUCGAAGGAAAGCCACGACUGAAUACUGCGAUCGGUAGUACGCGAGCGAGAGAUCGUUUCAUUGAACGCCGAAACUAAGCUGAACCGGUCAAGAUGCGAAGGGAGAUCGUCGUCAUCGUCGGUGCGGAAGUCCCGUGAAACUUUGCGAUUCCUCGCGCUCCAGUUGCGGUUGUCUUGUUCGGCGCGACGUCAUGAUUCGUCGGGGUGUCCCGAGUCGAUCGUGCUAGCUAUGAGACGCUGUAUGUUUCAAUGACGUAAAACUGAGUCCGGGAUCGUGUGAGUGUGUUUGAGCAUCGAGUGUACCGUGAACUUUUCCCGAACGGUGCUUCAAAACUAUCCGGAGAUUUUUCGCGUCUGCAAGCACGAUGUGAACUCACGAACUCACGAAAUUCAUGCUGACCUUCAUUCACGGAUCCGUCGCGAUGACAUGAGAGACUUCGAGCACCCCUGUCAGCCUAAGUGGAGUUAGGCUGAGAUAAUCUUCAAUGAUCUUCGUGAUGUGGCAGCUACGUAUUAUAUUAUCGAUGAAUAUAAAACGAUAGGAAAUUGUGGCGAUUCACCAGAGAAUGGCAAUUGUGUAUUUCUUUUCAUCAG